CUAUACUUUUGCUCACCGAUGCUAAAUAAUAUAUAGGUAUUGAUUCCACAGCCAUGGAAUUGAGAAAAGCCAGGAAGUGAUGCUGAAAAAAUAAAUGAAACUAUGGUAUUAUUUGGAACAAAAUUUUCAAGGAAUCACUUAUUUUACCAAUUCCAAAAGAAAGAGGAAAGUAAAGACUCAGAAAAUGUCAGAUCCAUGAUCCGUUGCUCUGAAUGCCGUUUCCCCCGAUGAACCUUAAAGAUAAAUAUGCAACCCUUUAUAUUCUCCAGUGAUGUCAACAGCCUAAGCUGAAUUUUAAAUAUCUAGCCAAUGAAAAAGUGAAUGGAUUUUUAGGGCAACUCAGGUUCAAAGCGUCAAAUCACCUUUAUUCCUAUUUUAAGGAACAUGACUCAUAACCUGUGCAGAAAAUUAAAAAAUACUAUAGCAAUCACAGCGUAUGUUUAACCUAACAAUUAAAAAUAUAUAACUGAAAUUACAAAAAAAAAAAAA